rnacentral:tRNA from 1 species
GGAGAGAUGGCAGAGUGGUCGAAUGUACUUGACUCGAAAUCAAGCGUACCGCAAGGUACCGUGGGUUCGAAUCCCACUCUCUCCGCCA